UGAUGGCGCUCGCAGAACUGCA
rnacentral:miRNA from 1 species